rnacentral:rRNA from 1 species
GGAAGUAAAAGUCGUAACAAGGUCUCCGUUGGUUGAACCAGCGGAGGGUAUCAUUA